rnacentral:rRNA from 1 species
AGAGCGAACGCUGGCGGCAGGCCUAACACAUGCAAGUCGAGCGCCCGUAGCAAUACGGGAGCGGCAGACGGGAUAGUAACACGUGGGAACGCGCCCUUCGGUUCGGAAUAACUCAGGGAAACUUGAGCUAAUACCGGAUACGCCCUUACGGGGAAAGAUUUAUUGCCGAAGGAACGGCCCGCGUCCGAUUAGCUAGUUGGUGAGGUAAUGGCUCACCAAGGCUACGAUCGGUAGCUGGUCUGAGAGGAUGACCAGCAUCACUGGGACUGAGACACGGCCCAGACUCCUACGGGAGGCAGCAGUGGGGAAUAUUGGACAAUGGGCGCAAGCCUGAUCCAGCCAUGCCGCGUGGAUGAUGAAGGCCUUAGGGUUGUAAAGUCCUUUUAACGGGGAAGAUAAUGACGGUACCCGUAGAAUAAGCCCCGGCUAACUUCGUGCCAGCAGCCGC